AGCGAACGCUGGCGGCAGGCCUAAUACAUGCAAGUCGAGCGCCCUUUCGGGGGAGCGGCGGACGGGUGAGUAACGCGUGGGAACGUGCCCUUUGGUACGGAACAACUGAGGGAAACUUCAGCUAAUACCGUAUGUGCCCUUCGGGGGAAAGAUUUAUCGCCAUUGGAGCGGCCCGCGUUGGAUUAGGUAGUUGGUGAGGUAAAGGCUCACCAAGCCUACGAUCCAUAGCUGGUCUGAGAGGAUGAUCAGCCACACUGGGACUGAGACACGGCCCAGACUCCUACGGGAGGCAGCAGUAGGGAAUCUUGCGCAAUGGGCGAAAGCCUGACGCAGCCAUGCCGCGUGAGGGAAGAAGG
rnacentral:rRNA from 1 species